ncrna:unclassified sequences NiCo riboswitch
ACAGUACAAACUGAUCAGGCGGUAAACCUUCUUCCGGGUUUUUGCAGCCGGGCCCUCUGGGCAGCAGACCUUGACUCAACGUCUGCGGGACAGUU